rnacentral:lncRNA from 1 species
UUUGAUCGGCUGUUUGACAGGGUCCAGCCGAUUAACGCUGAGGGGUGCAGGGUCGCCCCUUGGUGAAGAAUAACCGGCCAGCCCCUCACAUAGUUCUGAAACCUGUGCUGCUUUAAUGCCCUUCAUUCCUUUUCCUUUCUUAACCUCCAGUUUUCACUCCUUUGGGUGGCUGCUUGGGAGGCACUACCUCCCGGGAAAAUUAGAUACAGUAAGAGAAUGUGACCACCUGCAGGUAACUUUCAAGAUAUUUUUCAGUUAAUUAAUGGAGGAGCACACAGUCCCAUGUGAGACAAUCAGAAAGGAAUCCUGCCAGAUAAGAUGUCGAAUUAGGUUUAUGGCCUCCAUCUGGUUAAUGUUUCCUUCUCCCUCCAGUUCUUUGUCUAAAUAUACAUAUGCAUCGUCCUUCUAAGUUUGCUGGUUAAUUGGAUGAUCAAGAAGUAUCUAUAUAUUAUUCUUGACCUUCUGCUUUCUGUUAAAAUGUUAUAGAGGUUUUCUCCUAAAAGCAAUAAACAAUAAAUAAUUGGUGAGUAGAAGGGCCGAGGGGUGCAAGAAUGCCCCUCGGUGAAGAAUGGCCGGCCAACACCCCCGAUAUUUUCUGAAUUAUAUGCAUGCUUUCUAUCAAGGUUAUGUGUAUACUUAUUUCUCUUUUUUAUUCUUGAAGAUUUAUAGUUUAGCUUAGCUUUUCAGCCCUUUACUUUACUAACAAUAUGAUACUUUCUCCGGCAGUGUACUUAAGGGACCAUUAGCUCUACAAUCUAAAAGACAAAGGAAUGCUUCCACCCCCUAAAGGGCGCGAAAAAGUAAAGAUGUUUAACUGCCCGCUGAGAAUGCAGAUAGCCCUGGGGAUAAGACACCCUGGAGUCACCUUUUGUUCCCAUUAACCAUCUACACUAAUGGCGUAAAUGAUUGAGGGAGGCAGGGAUGGCUCCACCAGGAUGUAACCAGACGGGCUGCUGCCCUGUCCGGAGGCCUGGACCUUCUCUCUUUGAUUUAACUUUACCAUGAAUUACAACAGACGCCUAGGUACCUAUCUCCUUUAGCUUAGAGACAACAAACACUAGUUAAUGCAGAGAAGACGAUCAUUAACCUAUGCUCUAUAGAAUGG